UGCAAGAUUAGUUCCCAGCAUUGAGGUUCAAGAUAAGAUUAUUCAUGAAUUAUCUUUAUAUAAAAAUGCUGAAGGUCUUUUUGGAAUUCCAAUUGCUGUUCGAUCCAGGACAACUACCUCUCCAGCUGAAUGGUGGAGUCUAUUUGGAAAUUCCACCCCGAACUUACAGAAAUUUGCUGUCAAAGUACUUAGUUUGACAUGUAGUGCUUCGGGUUGUGAGCGAAACUGGAGUGUCUUUGAGCAUAUUCACUCGAAGAGAAGAAAUCGGUUAGAACAUCAACGAUUGCACGAUCUUGUUUACAUAAAGUAUAAUCAAGCUUUGAAGACUCGUCAUGAUUUGAAAAAUAGAUUUGAUUCAAUCUCAUUGCAAGAUAUUGAUGAUUCAAAUGAGUGGUUAGUAGGAGAAAUGGGUGCUAACUUGCAAGAUGCUGAAGACGAGCUUGUAUUUGAAGAUGAUAGAUUGACGUGGGGAGACGUGGCAAGAGCUUCAGGUGCUGGAGAAUUACAAACAUAUACAAGACAGAUGUCAAAGAGAAA